rnacentral:tRNA from 1 species
GCCUGGUUAGCUCAGCUGGUUUAGCAUCUGACUCUACCUCAGUUCAAGUCUUGAUCUCAGGUUUGUGAGUUCAAGCCCCACACUAGGCU